UACGGGGGGGGGCAAGCGUUGUUCGGAAUUACUGGGCGUAAAAGGGCUCGUAGGCGGUCUGUUGCGUCGGGAGUGAAAACUCAGGGCUUAACCCUGAGCCUGCUUCCGAUACGGGGCAGACUAGAGGUAUGCAGGGGGAGAACGGAAUUCCUGGUGUAGCGGUGAAAUGCGCAGAUAUCAGGAGGAACACCGGUGGCGAAGGCGGUUCUCUGGGCAUUACCUGACGCUGAGGAGCGAAAGUGUGGGGAACGAACAGG
rnacentral:rRNA from 1 species